rnacentral:rRNA from 1 species
GUACGCCUACGGGGGGCAGCAGUGAGGAAUAUUGGUCAAUGGUCGGGAGACUGAACCAGCCAAGCCGCGUGAGGGAGGAAGGUACAGAGUAUCGUAAACCUCUUUUGUCAGGGAACAAAGGCGGGGACGUGUCCCCGGAUGAGUGUACCUGAAGAAAAAGCAUCGGCUAACUCCGUGCCAGCAGCCGCGGUAAUACGGAGGAUGCGAGCGUUAUCCGGAUUUAUUGGGUGUAAAGGGAGCGUAGACGGCAGGGCAAGUCUGGAGUGAAAGGCAGGGGCCCAACCCCUGGACUGCUCUGGAAAAUG